UGGUCAAGCGAAUAAG
rnacentral:rRNA from 1 species